rnacentral:sRNA from 1 species
CUGAUAGAAUUGGAGAUUGAUGUCACUGCAGAAUGGUGGUAGCAGGGAUAGUUGCCUCCCUUCUCCCCCAAUUUGCCACUGGUAUAGAGGGACCACAUCUGGCAGUAAGGGUUAAUUCAUUCUCCAUGGCUCACUCAGUCCGUGGGUAUU